rnacentral:rRNA from 1 species
GAUGAACGCUGGCGGCGUGCCUAAUACAUGCAAGUCGAGCGAACAGACGAGGAGCUUGCUCCUCUUACGUUAGCGGCGGACGGGUGAGUAACACGUGGAUAACCUACAUAGAAGACUGGGAUAACUUCGGGAAACCGGAUCUAAUACCGGAUAAUAUAUUGAACCGCAUGGUUCAAUAGUGAAAGACGGUUUUGCUGUCACUUAUAGAUGGAUCCGCGCCGCAUUAGCUAGUUGGUAAGGUAACGGCUUACCAAGGCAACGAUGCGUAGCCGACCUGAGAGGGUGAUCAGCCACACUGGAACUGAGACACGGUCCAGACUCCUACGGGAGGCAGCAGUAGGGAAUCUUCCGCAAUGGGCGAAAGCCUGACGGAGCAACGCCGCGUGAGUGAUGAAGGUCUUCGGAUCGUAAAACUCUGUUAUUAGGGAAGAACAAAUGUGUAAGUAACUAUGCACGUCUUGACGGUACCUAAUCAGAAAGCCACGGCUAACUACGUG